rnacentral:rRNA from 1 species
ACGGAGGAUCCAAGCGUUAUCCGGAUUUAUUGGGUUUAAAGGGUGCGUAGGCGGACGUUCAAGUCAGCGGUGAAAGUCCAUGGCUCAACCAUGGAAUUGCCGUUGAAACUGGAUGUCUUGAGUGUAGAUGAGGUAGGCGGAAUUCGUAGUGUAGCGGUGAAAUGCUUAGAUAUUACGAAGAACUCCAAUUGCGAAGGCAGCUUACCAGGCUACAACUGACGCUGAGGCACGAAGGUGCGGGGAUCAAACAG